AAUUGGACACUUUCACUGUUCACCCGCAGCUCACUUACCACUUCCCUGCGGGUGAUGACUGAGCACCGUCCAUCGCGGAUCCGAGGGUCUUCAAUCUUCUAUUGUUUAUCUUCUUUCUUGGGUUUAUCCUGAUGAUGCUGGCUAUAUAAGCCAUGUAAGCCUAGAGGCAGGGAUCUUAUCUCUUGUAAUUGGGGUUGAACCCUAGCCGCUGCCAUGUUCUGGCCGGCAUAAGCUCCCUUGCAAUCUCCUAAAUUGUAGCAAGCAUUCCUCUCAGAGUAGUAAAUCUAUGUGACAUGUUGAGCUUCCCUUGUUUCUAAGCGUUCAUCUCUGAAAUCUCUCUCUAUUCCCUGAAUUCCCUAGCAAGGGCCUAUCAAUUGGUAAUCAGAUCUGGUUCUUCCUCGGCGGAGAUUGGGCUUAGUGAAGGAUCGGAGUUGGGAUCUCCUGUAAAAUCCUCCGUUCCCUUCCGGGCUACGGCGGCCUUGUGCGUUGUAGUGACGUCUGGGCAGUGGAGGCAGCUAACUCAGGUGCGGCUCGGGGCUUGGAGCUGGUUUCUGAAGAAACUUUCUUUAGAGUAAAAUCCCAACCCUCCCACCCUGCUCGGUGCACCCUCCAGCAGCAGGCGUGCUGAUGUCUGGCAGCGGCAAAACUGGAAAUUCAGGUGUCGCCCACAAGGUGUUCGACACAUGGUCUGAACCAGGAAAUCAAUCUGGAAGUGAAGGUAACCAUGCACAAAACAUGUUUGAUACAAUUCCAAAUCCCCAAGGCAGAGUCCUUCAUGUGGUAGUACAUCAAUAUCAACAAUUCGUGUCCCCAGAGUUGAUUAGUCAAGUAUUUUCUGCAUAUGGGAAAGUAGAAGAAAUGUUUCACAACCCACAUCAGGACUCACCCACACGUACAUCAUCUAUAUUCAUCGAAUAUGCACAGGCUAGAAUGGCUAAUGAUGCUUUGCAUGGUUUACAUGGAUUGUACCUGUACCAAGAUGAUUGUCGGUUGGAGAUUAGGCAUGCUAAUACACUACUAGGGAAAAGCUUAUAGGCAGACGCUUACUAGUAGCCAGAGUUUAUACCCCUCGCUUCUGCUACUUACUAGUAGCGUGGCUUUUAACUCCUCGCUACUACUAAGUUGAUAGUAGUAGCGCGGGUUUUUAACCCUCGCUACUACUAAGCGGUCUCUACCGUGCCCCCGAGACAUGCCAUAGUAGUAGUGAGGGGUAUAAACUCACGCUACUACUAAGCUGAUAGUAGUAGCGCGGUUUUAUACCCCUCGCUACUACUAAGUACGAGGUAGGUGAAGUCGCCAUAUCGUCGGCCGAAUCGCCAUCUCCCCCCCAAUCCCUCCUCUCUUCCGCCACUCUCUCCUCUCACUUUCCAUACACUCUCACAUGGACCUCUUGCCCAUGCGCCCCUCCUUCUCCGUGGCGCCGAAAGAGGCCGCCGCCUCGCGCCACCGGCGUCUAGGAGCUCGUCGGUCUUCCACCGACGUCUAGGAGGCCGCCGUCCCGCACCACCACACCGGAGCACCUCACCACCGGUAACUAGCUCCGUUGCUCCCUCCAUCACCUUCCUCUCUCCCUCGGUUUUCCUUUUCUCUCUCUCCCUCUAGUUUGACUCACCCUCCCAUGUCCAUGCCCGUGCAGGUCGUCGCCAUGGACGACCCGGAGCUAUCUGGCAUGGUCGGGAAGAGGAGCCCCACGCGGCGGCCUGGCUCUUCCAUAGAAACGGGUCCUCGCCAACAGCCACCGCCGGAUCUGGUCUGCCGCUGUCCGUUCAUGCCUCCGGCGACGCCAACCGUCGCUAGAUCGAACGACUGCUGCCAUUGACAACACGCACGGGAUCGAGAUUUUUUUUGUUUUUGAAAGUAAUAGCAGUAGCGCGGGGUAUAAGACCCGCUACAGAUAAUUAGCAGUAGCGCUGUCUACAACGCACGCUACAGCUAACCAUGUAUAGUAGUAGCGUGUGUCAACACGCGCUACUGCUACAAGUUAGCUGUGGCGCCGUAUCAGUAGCGCGGGCACCCGCGCUACUAAUACACCCAAAACCCGCGCUGCUGCUAGGCUUUUCCCUAGUAGUGAUAGCUCUGAGUUGCAAGCUUUUAUGGAUAUUCUGCUCCCAGUUUUUCUGAACAUCAAUUUGAGCUUCUGCAACAGCUACAGAACGACCUACAAGCAUUAAGCAGAGAUGUGACCUGCAACCUUUUAGAUGUGCAUAUGGGUACCAAUCUUUAACCCACACCACCCUCCCAAAACAAUGUCAUCGCUGCUAUAUCCCCAUUUUCUGCAUGCGAGUCAUUCUGCACUGGAAACAAGUAAGUUGAGAGAAAAUGCAAAAACCAGAGGAAACAAUUAAAGCAUGCACCAGUACAGCUGCAACUGGACUUAGAAAGCCUUCUUCUUCCUGCUAUCUCAAUUCUUGCCGAAGAUGCAAAUGAGGAAGCAAAUACUGACACUUUUGGCGAAGUUCUCCAACAAUGGUCUAUGCAAUAGCAGCCUCAAGAGAGGAGCAACACCGCUACUAUUACACUUGCUCAAGAUAUUCUUUUAAAUCAGGAUGAUAAGGCACAAAUUGAUGCCCAACUUGUCAAAUCAGUAGCAGAAGAGUCAUCCAAUUUGCAAAAUACUCAACCAUAUGCAGUGACAAUGAAGAAACAAAUAGAGGCUCACAAGACGUCCUAUAUUGCUGAAAUUGAUGUGGCUUUUCAUUCACUCCAUGAGGAUGAAGUCCGCACUACUCAAAUGUACAUGCUUCCGCUGGCUGAUAUUCUUCACAUGUGUCAGCCAUGGCCACCACCUAUGGAGCAAGUACACCAUCAAAGCAGCAGUGAUUCUCUAGUGACAGUACUUAUACCAACUGAUGUUCUUACUGUCAAUGUAGUUGUAGAGGAGCCAUACAAUUCACAGACUGCUCAUAUUAACUGUAAAAUCACACCUGUUGUUUUUCACAUGAGUCGUCCAUGGGCAUCGCAAUUGGAUUGCAAUUAUCAGCAGCCAGUUACUAGUGUCUCCAAAGUGCAACAUGUCAAAAGAAGGUUUCUCACGUGCUAGCUCUUGUUCCUGGUAGCAGCAAUGUGCAUGGGCCGUCAGCAAACAUUUCUGAAUUGUGUGGACAAAUUAAAACCAACCCCUUGAGGUUACCUUGGGACCCUGGCACGCUGCAAUGUAUACAUUGGGAUCUCAGUAUGCCAAUCACCAAGGGACAAUUCAGUUGCCUGCAGCUUGUUUUGCUUUGAUUCACCAUGCAUUACAGUGUCAUAUGCUUGAUUACAUCUUUGCCUUGGGAAGAUCCUGAUGCAAUACAUGUCUUACAGUUGAUACAUUAUAAGUGGACACGUUCCACUCUAGUUAGCAUUUUCCAAAAACAUCAACUCCCAUAUACACGCGAAGUACCCAAAUUAUAUGAGAAGUAGUCAGCGAGCAAUUGUCAUGAGGUCCAGUUGCUAGCUCUCGCAUCUCCAACACAUGAGCUAGUGUAUCAAGAUGGGGAAAACAGCCAAUGGCAGUCAAUUACCUGGAAAUAUGAAACACUUGAUAACUUCUUGUUUCUCACAACGAGAGCGCAUAGUGUUUACCUCCUAUUGCCAUGGGACCCUGGCGUCCAGCAACAACACUUGAGUGCUCCUUGGCAAGUGAUAAGAAGGAAACUUUUUUGCUUCGUCCUUAGCAAACCAGUUCGAUAAUAAUUGCGUCCCUCAGCAGAACCCCAAGUCUGAAAUAUUCUGUGACAUCCAGCUAAUGGUUUUGUCAGUGCGCCAUUAUUUCUUCUCAAGUUCUGCAAUGUAUUCAGAUAAAGAUGCUGCUAUAGACUAUCUUAAGGACAUAAUUUCACAGUUGGGUGACGCCAAGGAAUCAGAGGACUGGCAUAUGAACGAACAGGGCAAUGUAUACAUGAGGCUCAAUGCAAAGUGUGACAUAUUCCGGGCUGCAAGUUAUCAGUUACUCAAAGUUGCAAUGGCUAUUGUUGAUCUAGAUGAUGUCAAGAAUGGUAGUGCAAUACUAGCGUCACUGAUGAUUAUUCAAUACUCCUCUCGGAAUGAAGUCCGGGCCCCUGAAAUUGCAAUCUAGCUCGGUGCAUUAUUGCCGAAACCUGCAGAUAAUCUUAUCAGCUCUCUCUUUCUGACAAAGAGUAUGACUGUGGCUGAACCGAUAACAGAUGGUCAAUGGGAACAACAAGGGCCUCACAGCAACGAGUUACAAAACAUACUAUUAUUGUUCUCUCUAAAAUAUGAAUCACUUUUGGUCCAGCUCCCUCACCAUUUUAAUACAAGGAAAUCACAGCUACUGGGAAUCAGACUAAUAACUCACAUAUGAGUGCAAGCCCCUGAAAGUGGAGCGAGCAUUAUUACAUUAUUUCCAGAUAUGACUAGUGGCUCCUCGCACAUUCGUGCAGCUACCUAUUCCUCAUCAUGGUUACAUCAAUCAAUAUUGGGGGCUGCGAAUGAUAAACUCCCAAAAUGUCUACUGCUCCCUAGGUGGACAUGCCCACUGCAACAGACCACAAAAGUGCACUGUUACUACCUCUUUGCUGCCAAGAUGGGUGCAUUCACAUGCAACACUGAUAAAACAGGAGGGCUGGCAUUCUAUAGCUCGGAAUUACGGCCAACAGGAUCGUCAUGGAAGUCUAGAAGUUUCACUAGCUAUUGUGGCUUGAAAGCAAUGAACUCUAAUUUGAAAUAUUGUUCUCAAGUUCUUGCCAUCAUGCACAAAUCCUAUUCUGCACUACUACCGGUUGUUGACUGUUGUCCUGCUGUCAAUGGGUAUUUUAUCCAUAGAACUUGGCCCAACAACCUUCAGAAUGUUCAGAGCUCUGUCAGGCCAUCUCUUGACAAUUACGCAAAUUCUUAUAACAAGUUACAUUAGAAGUGGUGCACUGGAAUUAUUGCAGAAAUACAGGGCUUGCAAUUCGGUAGUACAAGUUGCAUUGGAACUGAAGAAAAUGUGGUACUGUUUGUAUUCCUUGAAAUAUUUAUUACACAUGGAAAGGGUGGCUCCACCACAUGGGAUCCUGGCAUCAUGUUCUACAGGACCUUGCAACCUGACUCUGAUACACACUACAAGAUUUGUACAUGCCAUGGGAGUCCCACUACAAACCGUGUACAGAGAUUUUACUUCAAGACAUUUUCACAAAUGCUACAUCGACAACUCCUUGAUGGUUGCUUGAGCUCUGGAUCAUCUCCUUCCUUCCUGCAUGACUUAGCACACUUGAGGGCAAGUGUGGUCUUAGAAGGGGGGAAUUGUCAGGACCCAUUAAUCUGAAGCCAUUUCAUCCCUGAAGCUCUAUGUGAAGAUUACUGAAGAAAUUGGACACUUUCACUGUUCACCCGUAGCUCACUUACCUCUUCCCUGCGGCUGAUGACUGAGCACCGUCCAUCGUGGAUCCGAGGGUCUACAAUCUUCUAUUGUUUAUCUUCUUUCUUGGGUUUAUCCUGAUGCUGGCUAUAUAAGCCAUGUAAGCCUAGAGGCAGGGAUCUUAUCUCUUGUAAUUGGGGUUGAACCCUAGCCGCUGCCAUGUUCUGGCCGGCAUAAGCUCGCUUGUAAUCUCCUAAAUUCUAGCAAGCAUUCCUCUUGGAGUAGUAAAUCCAUGUGACAUGUUGAGCUUCCCUUGUUUCUAAGCGCCCAUCUCUGAAAUCUCUCUCUAUUCCGUGAAUUCCCUAGCAAGGGCCUGUCACCGGCGUGGACGGCUGAAGACGGGAUGGGGACGGCCACCAACCGCAUUUAGCAGCAAGCCCGCUGACCACCUCGCAUCUCAUCCUCCACCCGCAUCCCCGCCGGAGAAAAUCGAGCCAGCCGUGGAGCAAGGCGGCCAAGCUGUGGGAGCUCAAGGUCCGCAGCCGGCACACGCAUGGCAGGGGCAGCACAAUGGAGUGCCGGAGGCGACCCAGUUCGCAUCUUCCGGGAGUGCUGCCACAGGAUUCAUGGUCGUCGCGCCGCUAGUUGCAGUGCGCCGCUUCAUCCAUAAAUCUGGUGUUAUCUGUUGCUAGUCUUGUAAUCAGGGUGUCCAUUCUUAUGCUGGUUGUGGCAGAUGUUGUCAUGCGUGUGCUGGAUUAGGUGUCAGCAGCGAUCUGGUUAUUAUGUAGGCACUCAAGUGAGCUCGCGUUCCGGCAGAUAGGGCUAAAAACAGAGCUCCUCCAUCCUUGGUGCCUCCACAGGCUGUCAUCGCUAAUGGAUGAUGAGGGCGAGCAUCAAGAGUUGUCAUGCCGGGGGCAGUCCGAAAAUCAAGAGAGCCCCUGUGCUGGGCAGCCGGUGGAUGGUUUAUCAGAGAUUGAGCCGGCAAUCAUGUCUCGGUUGUCAGUGAAGCGUGUGCUCAAGGCUGUGCAAAAGUUUGACGAGUAUAAGAGAUGGCUUGUAUCAGAGAUUGGGUUGGGUGGAAUACUGAAGCUUCCGAUGCUCGUCAAAUUGGACCUGGUUAUGAGGAAGGUGAAGGUCAGGCCUCGCGUAAUCGCUAUUGAUGACAACAGGAAUAUUUUCUUUACUGCAGAGGAUUUCCAUAAGAUCUUCGGGGUCCCGUGCGCCAACCGAGAUGUUCAUGGCAGGGAUGCGAACAUUGCUCCUUCAUCGAUCCAAUUCAUAAAGCAGGCAAUUGGGAUGGACAAACUCAGGAUCGAAGAACCUAAAGGAGGCUGAGAGAUUCAUCAGCAGAGACAUUUCUGAGGAAUCUAGUAAGAUUGAGAAGGAUUGUUUUCAGUUUGCGCUUGUGAUUUUCAUCAUGGGUUACAUGCUAGAGCUGUGAACAAAGCAUGACUUCAUGACAAUUGAUUUCUGGGGUGUAGUGGCUAAUCCGGAAGUCAUAACUCGAUUCAAUUAGUAUGAGUAUGCUAUUCAGAAUUUGAUGGUAGCGGUAAUGAAGGUGAAGAGUGAUUUUCAGAACAAUGUACCAACGAUUCAUCUAUCUGGAUGCCACCUUUUCUUCCAGAUUUUCUUGUUGGACAACAUUGAUCUUGGGAUUUUCAAUACGAUCUACCUCGUGUGCAGUGCUUCGAACAGAAAACACUUCGGCAAAUGAUCACAAUGGCGGAUAGUAUGUAGUAGGGCAUGCCGAGUUAUUUGCCAGCAGCCGUAAAGCGGUCAUUUGCUAAGUGGCAGCAUACACUUGUUGAGGCCACACCAAAACUCUAGAUUGUUGUGUGUUCUAUAAGCACCGACUUGGAUUGUCCGUAUUUUGUAUGUAGGUACGACCGCCAGAUUCAGCGUGCUAUUACCGGGUAGCCGUGACGAGACAGUCAUACACUGAUGGUGAUGUAAUGGCAUCUUCAUCCGAGCCAGUAUCUUCAAGGGCGCCUGCGACAGCAUGCGAGCAUACACCGGAUUUGCAUGUCAAUAUGAGGGUGCCACCGUCAGGCUCGCUGGGGGACCCCAUGUCGGCACAUCGUUCGAUGGUGCCAAGUGAGUUCGGCAAUCAUCUUCGCCAGGCUUGCGUGGGAGAUCCUGUACGAGACGUUUAUGA